rnacentral:rRNA from 1 species
GGGCCCCCCGGGAGUGGAGCCUGGCGCCGGAUUUGACUCAACCCGGGGGAACCUAGCCCCGCCUGGGACACUGGGAGGGAUGACAGAUUGAGAGCUCUUUUUUGAUUCGGUGGGUGGUGGUGCAUGGCCGUUCUUAGUUGGUGGAGCGAUUUGUCUGGUUAAUUCCGAUAACGAACGAGACUCUAGCCUAUUAAAUAGGCUCUCGGCUUUUAAACGCCGGGAGGACUUCUUAGAGGGACAGGUGGCGGUUCAGCCGCACGAAAGAGAGCAAUAACAGGUCUGUGAUGCCCUUUGUUGUCCGGGGCCGCACGCGCGCUACACUGAAGAGAUCAGCGUGCUUUACGUUCCUGCUCCGACCGGAGUGGGGAACCCAGUGAACCUUCUUCGUGAUUGGGAUAGAAGAUUGUAAUUAUUCUUCUUGAACGAGGAAUUCCCAGUAAAUGCGAGUCAUAAGCUCGCGUUGAUUACGUCCCUGCCCUUUGUACACACCGCCCGUCGCUACUGCCGAUUGAACGAUUU